GCACCUGGAUGUUCCACAGCAGUACUGGCAAAAUAUUCCGUGGACAGAUGAAAGUUGAGUUGUUUGGAAGAAACACACAACACUAUGUGUGGCGAAAAAAAGGCACAGCACACCAACAUCAAGACCUCAUUCCAACUAUGAAGUAUGGUGGUGGGGGCAUCAUGGUUUGGGGCUGCUUUGCUGCGUCAGGGCCUGCAUGGAUUGCUAUCAUCGAAGGAAAAAUUAAUUACCAAGUUUAUCAAGACAUUUUGCAGGAG